rnacentral:rRNA from 1 species
AGUCGCGGUUAAACCAAGAAGGCUGAGUCAUAUUUUAACGGUAAAAAGACAGUUAAACGUGUUAAUAAGUUUAUUUAAUAUUUAUAAAAGGGUAGAAUCUGAAUAUAAAUAUAAAAUUUAACCAUAACUUAAGUAUUGAAGCUGUGACAGCCUUGAGGGAAACUGGGAUUAGAUACCCCACUAUUCUCGGCUAUAAAGAAAUAAAAAUUUACCAGAGUACUACGAAUUAAAGAGUUUAAAACUCAAAGAGCUUGGCGGUGUUUUAGACCCCUCAGGGGAACCUGUCUCAUAAUCGACAAUCCGCGUUAAACCUAACCCUAUUUUGUCUUCAGUUUGUAUACCGCCGUCGUCAGGUAACUUUUUAAAAACUAGAAGUUAGCAAACAAUCUGCAAUAAGCUUAUACGUCAGGUCAAGGUGCAGCCCAUAUUAGGGUGGGGAUGGGUUACAAUUAUAAAAUUAUAACUACGAAAUAAUUAUUAGAAUAAAUAAUUAUAAGGAGGACUUGAAAGUAAACUAAAUUAUAUAAACAUUUUGAAUAGGGCUCUGAAACGUGUACACAUCGCCCG